rnacentral:rRNA from 1 species
AGAGUUUGAUCAUGGCUCAGAUUGAACGCUGGCGGCAGGCCUAACACAUGCAAGUCGAGCGGUAGCACAGAGAGCUUGCUCUCGGGUGACGAGCGGCGGACGGGUGAGUAAUGUCUGGGAAACUGCCUGAUGGAGGGGGAUAACUACUGGAAACGGUAGCUAAUACCGCAUAAUGUCGCAAGACCAAAGUGGGGGACCUUCGGGCCUCAUGCCAUCAGAUGUGCCCAGAUGGGAUUAGCUAGUAGGUGGGGUAACGGCUCACCUAGGCGACGAUCCCUAGCUGGUCUGAGAGGAUGACCAGCCACACUGGAACUGAGACACGGUCCAGACUCCUACGGGAGGCAGCAGUGGGGAAUAUUGCACAAUGGGCGCAAGCCUGAUGCAGCCAUGCCGCGUGUGUGAAGAAGGCCUUCGGGUUGUAAAGCACUUUCAGCGGGGAGGAAGGCGGUAAGGUUAAUAACCUCAUCGAUUGACGUUACCCGCAGAAGAAGCACCGGCUAACUCCGUGCCAGCAGCCGCGGUAAUACGGAGGGUGCAAGCGUUAAUCGGAAUUACUGGGCGUAAAGCGCACGCAGGCGGUCUGUCAAGUCGGAUGUGAAAUCCCCGGGCUCAACCUGGGAACUGCAUUCGAAACUGGCAGGCUAGAGUCUUGUAGAGGGGGGUAGAAUUCCAGGUGUAGCGGUGAAAUGCGUAGAGAUCUGGAGGAAUACCGGUGGCGAAGGCGGCCCCCUGGACAAAGACUGACGCUCAGGUGCGAAAGCGUGGGGAGCAAACAGGAUUAGAUACCCUGGUAGUCCACGCCGUAAACGAUGUCGAUUUGGAGGUUGUGCCCUUGAGGCGUGGCUUCCGGAGCUAACGCGUUAAAUCGACCGCCUGGGGAGUACGGCCGCAAGGUUAAAACUCAAAUGAAUUGACGGGGGCCCGCACAAGCGGUGGAGCAUGUGGUUUAAUUCGAUGCAACGCGAAGAACCUUACCUGGUCUUGACAUCCACAGAACUUAGCAGAGAUGCUUUGGUGCCUUCGGGAACUGUGAGACAGGUGCUGCAUGGCUGUCGUCAGCUCGUGUUGUGAAAUGUUGGGUUAAGUCCCGCAACGAGCGCAACCCUUAUCCUUUGUUGCCAGCGGUUCGGCCGGGAACUCAAAGGAGACUGCCAGUGAUAAACUGGAGGAAGGUGGGGAUGACGUCAAGUCAUCAUGGCCCUUACGACCAGGGCUACACACGUGCUACAAUGGCAUAUACAAAGAGAAGCGACCUCGCGAGAGCAAGCGGACCUCAUAAAGUAUGUCGUAGUCCGGAUUGGAGUCUGCAACUCGACUCCAUGAAGUCGGAAUCGCUAGUAAUCGUAGAUCAGAAUGCUACGGUGAAUACGUUCCCGGGCCUUGUACACACCGCCCGUCACACCAUGGGAGUGGGUUGCAAAAGAAGUAGGUAGCUUAACCUUCGGGAGGGCGCUUACCACUUUGUGAUUCAUGACUGGGGUGAAGUCGUAACAAGGUAACCGUAGGGGAACCUGCGGUUG